rnacentral:misc_RNA from 1 species
CAACCCUCGAGCUCCCCUUGGGGAGCCCGGCGUUGGGGACCGGCAGCACACCGCCGGCCCUGAAAUGGAGUGGCGGCCCGUCCGCGGCGACCUCUGCGCAGUAACAUCACCUCGCACCGGGAACCCGACGUGGCCACGCCGUAAAACACCCAACCUUCUGAA